rnacentral:miRNA from 1 species
GUUUGACAGUUAUGGCAGUUGAAUGGUUUCUAAUUUUAUUGUCCAAUCAGAUGAUUUAAAAUUCAAAACUACGCAUCUGAUUGGACAAUAAAAUUAGAAACCAUUCAACUGCCAGAAAUGUCAAAC